UCAAACUUGGUCAUUUAGAGGAAGUAAAAGUCGUAACAAGGUCUCCGUAGGUGAACCUGCGGAGGGAUCAUUAACGAACGCAAACCCGGUCGGAUGUGCUGGCCCUCCACGGCGCACGUGCACUCCGACCGAAAUUCGCACACCCUUUGUGAACCAAGACCUUCCUGACCCUUUUUGCGGUGCCGAAGGUCCCCUUUACAAACUCGUAUGUCUUUUGAAUGUAUCCGUUGCGUUCGCGCGCGAUCAUACAACUUUCAACGACGGAUCUCUUGGCUCUCGCAUCGAUGAAGAACGCAGC
rnacentral:misc_RNA from 1 species